GGCUUGGAUUGGUUGAGCUUUCGUGAUCCCGCCCUGGGACUGGAAGUUCUAUCUGGACGCCGAGGCCUCCCGGGCUUCGCCUGUGCUUCUCGGUUUCAUCAUCGUAAGAUGGAGCUAAGUGCUAUACCUGUGUCGGGGGUUUUGUGAGGAUGGAGAUGACAUGAGUGUAUACGGCACACAGAGUUGCUCGAUGUGCACUGUCUUCUGCUGUUAGAAGGAGUGUGUGGUUUGCAGACUACACUCAGCGCAGUGCUAUGCACGCUUCCCUCUGUGGAGAGAUCAGCCAGGAAUGCUUGGCAGUGGUUGCCAGCUCUCCUGGCACAGGGGAACCUUCCCGAAACUUCUAGUGGCACCCAUGUGAUUUAUCUGAUGUUCUGAAAAUCAAUGAGAUAUAUCAGACAGAGGCUGCUCCGCUAGCUCAGGUUCAUCAGUUUGGGUCCAGAGGGAUGAUGACAUGGAACGGAACCACAGCUGACCCAUAAUGGACAUUAAGGUACUAGAUCCUGCCACUGGCAUCAUCACCACUGCCAUUAUCUGUGGUCACUGGGUACCAGGGGCCACCACUACCCAUGGCAGAAUGAACUCUGAGCUGUUCCAGCAUCUCCGUGUUGCUUUCCCAAGACUCAGAUCUUCAAAGAGAGGAUCUGAUUGGCCGGAGUAUCACAUUGGUGGUUAGGAUUUCAACCUAUGAAUUUUGGGGGGAUACACACUUUCAGUCUAUAGCAAGACAAGUUGUUAAACUCUUUGAAUGAUAAGUUUUCUAUGGAGUCCUUUGCAUUUUCUAAGCAUAUCAUCUGUGCUUAAUACAGUUUUGUUUCUCCCUUUGCAAUCAUGAUACUUGUUCUUUUAUUUCUGUGUGCUAAGACCUUCAGUGCAAUGUUGAAGAGACAUAUUUAUCUUUGCCCUGCUUUAAAGGGCAUACUUACAGAGUUUAACUAUUAAGAAUGAAUGAUGUUUUGGUAUAGGUUUUCAGUAGAUAUUCUUUAUGAGGUUAAGAACCUUCCCUUUUAUUCCUGCUUUGCUGAGAUUGUCACGAAUGGUUGUUGAAUUUUAUUGAAUGCAUUUUUUUCUUCGUCUAUUGAUUUGAUUGUAUGUUUUUUCCCUCUUUCAAACUGUUAAUGUUAAACCACCCUUGCAUUCCUGAGAUACAUUUAAAUUGUCAUAACAUAUUCAAUUCUAUUGUUUUGUUUUCUCUUGACUAUGUGUCACUUUUUGCUGCUUCUUGGCAUGUCUAAUAUUUUUUUGUUGCAUGCUGUGCAUUGUGUAUAAAUGAAACAUAAAUGGUCUAGAUAAUAUCUUUCACCAUUGAGAGUUCCCACAGUCCUUCAUUAGGCAGACAGGGUGAGGGAUUUAUCACUUUAAUCCAAUCAGGGAUUGAGUUUAGGCUGAGCCUAGCUACAGCUGUGGCCAGCAGCCUGAACCAGCAUGGAUUAUUUAUGCCUAUGUGGAUGGCACUGACAGGAGGAUGUGAGAGGAAAGAAGUUGCUUAUGUGAGCACAAUAGUCGUCUCAGCUUUUACACUGAAAAGGUCAAGAAAGCUGUUGAUGGGCAUUGGGUACUCAGACGUAUGGCAACGGGGAGGUGGGAAGAGCACACUUCAGCAUUACUGUCCUGAGUUCUAGGAGCGGCUCAAACUUUUAUAUGUUUCUGUGGAUUUGGAAGGGCUUCUGUCUGAAGGAACGAGUUGGUAAGAUAACUGGAUUUCUGUCUGGCCCUUACCAUUGAAGCCUAAGGCAAAGAUUACAUUUGGAUGUCAUAGAAAGUAUUUCGAAAGGUUGCUUAAAAUUGCUUCAUUAAAAAUUUUCCACUUACUGCUCAAAAGCAUAUUGUAACAUGGGAUUCAAAAAUUCAAUAAAAAGUACCCAGAUUUCUACUCCCCUAACAAUUCAGCUGUUUUGAGUUUCCUACUUCCUUUCCAUUCUUUUUUUUAAUAAACACUCACGUGCACAAACACCCAUACAAACACACACAAACAUACUAUUUACAUAUCGUAACCAUGGUGUGCCUGGGAUUUUCCUCCUACUGCCUUUAAAGGUGAAGUUCAGUUUAUGACUCACAUUCACCAGGACAUCAGGAAAGGGAUCAAAUUCCCCACUUCAUUCCUGAAGGUUAAUGCCUGUGUCAUUCUGCCCUCUGUAAUUGCCCAGGUUAAGCUAUGUUUAGAGUGUGGUAAAGAAAGAGCAGCGCUAUUCAACAUGUACUUAUUACUUUUAAGAGAGCACAUUGGAUUUAGUUAUGGAUAGAGAAAAAAUUAUAAUUUCAGUUUUUCCAUCAGUGAUGAAGAUCUUGUAAUAGUUUGCAUCUUUAUUUAGAAUUUGAGUGCAGCUACAUGCUAGGUUCUUGGUGAACUGCUGUGCCCUCAACCUGCACCAGCCCUGCCCACUGCUACUUGCUCAUCAUGAGUUACCUCCUCACUCAUGCCUUCUCUGGUCCCAUCACCCUGUAUUCCCACCAGCCGCACCUUGUUUAUUUCCUUCAAGGCCCUUAUUCCAAUUUAUAACUGCACAUUUAUUUAGUUGCUUAUUGAAUGUCUCCUCCACUCUUCUGAGCUCUCUUAGGAAAGGGACUGAAUCCAAUUUAUUCAGCAAGGUAAGGUCAUAUGAUAUAAACACAGCUGGUGGAUAGAAGCAAAAAUGAGGGAGGGUGCCUGGGGACACCCCUGAAUUCCUCCAGUGUCUUGUCUACCCGCUGUAGUCUCAAUGCCUGAGAGGUCACAUAUCUGAUUAUUUAGAUAUGUCAUUUAAUGGUCAAAUCGCCGACCAUUGAGUCCUGUGUUUUUUCCCUGUAUGUGAAAAGUAUAAUCAAUUUAAUUUUCUUUCUUUUUUUUCUGGUCGCGCCACGGGCCAUGCGGGAUCUCAGUUCCCCGACCAGGGGACCAGGGAUCAAACCCGCACCCCCUGCAGUGGAAGCGUGGAGUGUAAGAAGUCCACAGUCAGUUUAAUUAUAAUCAAUAUUUAUUAUACCUGAAUCUGGGGUCCACUUACUUGUAGCUUUUCAUCAGAGACACCAGAGGUGAUUUCUUUCAGACUCCAGCUUGAAAUGGAGUAUUAACUCCCAGUGCUCAUAGUAAUAAGUAGGUGUUAUUUAAGGAAAGGAAUCAUUAAUGCCCAGCAGCCUUGAUCUCUUUUUCCUCCUUGAGUGAUGCACUAGAUGUUUACAGAAUAUAAAGGCGAAAACCCUAAUUAGAUGAAGGGGGCCAAAAUACGUCAGUUCUUCAAUGUUUUUCUUCAGUAAACAAGCUCAUGGAGCAAGAGUGAUAGAGACCAUCUAUCUAAGUUGUGUCAGCUUGCCAGCCACACACGUCCAACAACAAAAAUGCCCCAAACUUGCCCUUCAGGGAAAAAUCUUUCCACCCACCCUACUCUUGCACUGUCAAAUCGAUUAGGUAAAGAAGUGGAUGGUGGGGACUUCCCUGGUGGCGCAGUGGCUAAGAAUCCGCCUGCCGAUGUAGGGGACAUGAGUUCAAUCCCUGGUCUGGGAAGAUCCCACAUACCGCGGAGCAACUAAGCCCGUGCACCACAACUACUGAGCCUGCGCUCUAGAGCCCAUGAGCCUCAACUACUGAAGCCUGCGUGCCACAACUACUGAAGCCUGCGCCUAGAGCCCGUGCUCCACAACAGGAGAAGCCACCGCAAUAAGAAGCCCACGUACCGCA